GAUGCUGCUCUUUAGGAUGGACCUGGGCAUACCCUAGUAUCUGUUUAUUUUGCUUUUUCUGGUGACUAUUUAAUCCAGGACAAUAUGUUUAGAAAUUUUAAACCAGUUUUAGAAAUUGGUUUAAAAUACAUUAAUUUCAUUUUUUCAGCUAUAAUUAUUAUGUGUGUAUAUAUGUAAAAUAUAGAUAUCAAGAGUCAUUAACUUUAGUCACCUUAGUCAUUGACAGGGCUGAGUUUGGAUUAAGAGAGAAAAAAUAAUAGUUCUACUGUACAAUAGUAUAAUUUUUAUGAUUGUAAGUAUUUUAAACCUAGACUCCACCUUCGGGGGUGCAAACCAUAUUGUUUUUUAAUUACUAGUCUUCUGUGCUUCACCAUCUACAUAAUGAAUCCCAGUAUGAAGCAGAAACAAGAAGAAAUCAAAGAGAAUAUAAAGAAUAGUUCUGUCCCAAGAAGAACUCUGAAGAUGAUUCAGCCUUCUGCAUCUGGAUCUCUUGUUGGAAGAGAAAAUGAGCUGUCCGCAGGCUUGUCCAAAAGGAAACAUCGGAAUGACCACUUAACAUCUACAACUUCCAGCCCUGGGGUUAUUGUCCCAGAAUCUAGUGAAAAUAAAAAUCUUGGAGGAGUCACCCAGGAGUCAUUUGAUCUUAUGAUUAAAGAAAAUCCAUCCUCUCAGUAUUGGAAGGAAGUGG
rnacentral:lncRNA from 1 species